AUGGUUACAAGAGAUUUACUGGGCAGAGUAUUUACUCUUUGUUUGGUACAUGUCCCUAAUAUUAAGCAAGGCACCUUCCUUGAUGGUUUUAUUUUUGCCUUGCCAAUAUCUUCUGAAAAUCUCACUACUCAGAGAGAUUUAAACCUUGCCUUAAAUUUUACAGUUGAUGAUAGUUCAUAUCAUGGAAGUAAGGAAACACCAGGUCCAUUCCUGAAACAAAAUAUUAUCCAGCCAGAUGUCUUGGCUGGACAAGUGACACGCUCUCUGAAGAUUCAUUUGUUUUAUUUACAUAACCAUUUGCUAAUCACACUAAUAUAUUAUAUGUUACUGUCUGCAUCCUUACAGGAUUCUCUUAUUCAGGCAAAGAGAGGUGGAAUGACAUGGUCUGUCUCUCCUUCUGUCUUGAUGACACAAAGAAACUGGUGGGGUAGUCAGAGGCAUAGCAAAUAUGAGCUGAACAUUUUUUUUUCCAAUUCAUUUCUAGUGCUGGAGGUUGAGAAUAGCAAAAACCAGAUACGUUUCCAUAAUGACAUAUCACCUGCCAGCUCACUGUGUGGGAUUUAUAGGGUUGUACUGAAAAGAAAGUUAAUCGAGAAAACUUCAGGAAUUGAAAUGAGGAAAAAUGCAGAAUGCAGAUUUCUUAUUUCUGAAAGAAAAAAAAUGCAGUUUUUUACACAUACAGGUUCAAAGAAAAAUUCGAAUAAGCUUGUAUUCCUGGGGUGCCAACUACAUGCUCUAGUACCAGGAAAAAUAGUGUGUAUUUUAAAUCAGUGUAGACAAGAGCACAGGAAGACAGAGAAGAAAGGACAUACUGUUACAGCAUAUAAGCUAAGAAGUGAAAGAGCAAACCAUACAGUAAUAGGUACUAGAAAACAAAACAGAGAAGUUCGUUACCUCCUGAGGACUCAUGCCAGAGAAGCUGCGGUCCAAGUUAAAGCUGAACAUCUGCAGAGAGACUCUGAGGACAUCAAAUCAAUCCCACUCUCAGGGGGAGGACCUGAUCCAGACAAGUUCUCGAUUAAGUUCUGCAAAGCUUUGAAAGAUCACUUUUGCCCCAAAUUAACUGAUCUUAUAUGUUAUUUUCUGAACUUCAGACCUUUAACAGAUACUCUGAAGGAAGCUGAUAAUAUUGUUUUAAAGGCUAGAAAAUAUAAAAGUGAUUUUUUCAUCACAUAG
rnacentral:lncRNA from 1 species